UAUAAGAAAAGAAAAGAAAAGCAGAACAAGUCUUGGUGUGGAAGCCGUAGUGCGACCCAGUGAGCUCCACAGUGUUUGCUUUGGUCCAUGCAUCUUUAUUUGUAAGUGUGCAUUGCAAUGAGUCAUUGGUCUGGUUUGUGGCCUCUGAUUCUGCUUCCCCCUUGAUAUGGGCUCUCACUGGGUUUCCUCUUGGAUAUUCUGUUGUUGCCUUGUGUCCUAGAGAUCCUGUAGUUUCACAUCUACAGGCCUUCUCCCCUUACGUGCUUUAGCAGUUCACCACCAGGGAGAGCUCUCCUGCACCGCCCUGGUCCCUCAUCCCUCAGACAACAAGGAGCAGGGCCAGUCUUCCCAUUCUCACACUCUAGGGGCUGGCUCACUGGCAUCCACACCACCAGGGCUGGCUCUAUUGUUUUGCCCACGCAAGGUUCAGGGUCAGCUCACCCUCUCUCAUAUUGCCAAGGCCAGCUCUCCUGCCUGCGGCAGAUGGCAAGGAUUGUGGGGGCAUCUUUCCCUCACCCAUGCCACCACGUGGCAGAUGAAGGAGGCGGGGUCACCUGUCCUGUUCUCGUGCUCUCAGGGAAGGCUCACUUGCACCCCUGCCAACAGGGUCAGCUCUAGUGUGCUGCCCAGGCAAGGUGCAGGGUCCUUUCUCCCAAUGUGUCACAGCCGGUGAGGGACCCUUGGCUCUCAACCUCUCCUGACACCGGGAGCCAGCUCUCCUGCCUGAAGAGAUGGGAAUUUCAGUGACUGGAAAUUGCUUUCCCAACUUGCUGUUAUCAAUCAUGAAAGAAGCUGCUCACGGCUCAUGGACUAAUUGCGACCAGCUGUUGUCAUUUCCUGAGAGGACAGUUUCGCAUAGCCGGAGAAAGUUGAAAUCCAGGCUCUCCCCAGGAAACGCUGCUUCAUGGGUUGUAGCUACUUGUCAGGUUCCUGACUCAACAAACUGAAAUAUUGCCAAAGAAGAUUUCAUUUCAAAUUUCAAGUUUGCUCAGUCACAGCACUGAUGUUGCUGAAUGUAAUUAAUUACCUUCAGGUAAGCUCUGUUGCUGUUAGGCAGCGAAGAGGGGCUGCAGAGGAGAAACAGUCUGAUCCAGCCUGCGGAGGCCAACAGGAAGGCAACAAGCGGUCAUGCCAUUUUCCUCGUUCCUAACGUCGGGUCCAUGAUCACUUUAUGCAAGUGAAACAUGAAAAAUAAUUCUGGAGGACUACUUCUUAGUGGCUAAUGACAAACAUUUUCUCGUGUGUGUGUGUGUGUGUGUGUGUGUGUGUGUGUGUGUAGGUCUAACAUUUGGGAUGCUGUUAGCUUAUUUUACAGCAUAGCUUUUAGUGUCCGUUUUAGAAGAUCCUCACUGCACAGAAAUGCUAAAUUCCCAGAAGUGACUGGGGUUCACUGAAGGAAAUUCUGUCCUUGGGGACAGAGGUGCCUGUCACAGGAGCGAUCCACUUCACUUGAUUCGAUCUCCCACUGGGAAAAUCAUUCUUGAAUCACAGGGUAUGGCUGUCAACUCUCUAAAGUAAAGUGUAGUGACGGGGCCUUUAAGAAGACAAUGCUAGGAAAAGCAGGCAUUUGGUAACCAAGGAGAGAGUCAUGAUCCCAGGGGUACCGUGGACUUAGUUCUUGGCCAGGAAGCACUUCUUGGCAUCCGCUGCUGCCAUUUCUCUGCUCGGGCCAGCUCACUUGGGCCAGAGCUGAUUGCUAAAUUGUGGAAAAUUUCUCAGCCCUUAUCAACUGCUGGUAGCAAAAGUUUAGUCAGAGUAGAAGCAUUUAGACCACAAAAUAUGCAAAUGGUUCACAUCUGCGCUUUUGUUUAAUUUUUAAUAAUUUUUGGAGAGCUGGCCUGCGGUGCACUCAUGUCUGCAGCUCCUCACAUGCAAGCUCUGGCCUCUUCCCCAUGGUUCUCUCCUGAGGGCCUUUAGCUCUUUCCUUUUUUUCAUUCAUUGAUUUUUUUUCUGACUUUGCCAUUGAGGCAACUGUCACAUACCAAAGGUGCUUAGGAGUUUGUUCUCAUAAAACGCAUCCUGGAAAACAAUUUAUCUUUUCUCUCUCUCUUUUUUUUUUCUUGAGUGUGGAGUUAAUUGAGAGGAAGGCAGAGAGGAGUUAAGGGCGAGACAGAGACAGAGAGAGGAAGCGAGAGAAAAAUGCCUGCUUGCCUCUUCGGAAGAGCAGGGGGAAGAGAGCUAAUUUUUCUUUUCUAUUUAAACCAAGGUGCUAGGAUCUAGGACAGUAGUUCUCUGCCUGGGGGGGCCACAUUUCCUUUGGAGGUCCAACAGAAUGAUCCUUUCAUAGGGGUCACCUAAGACCACGGGGAACUGUAGACUGUAAUAUUACAAUUCAUAACAGUAGCAAACGUACAGUUAUGAAGUAGCAAUAAAAAUAAUUUUAUGGUUUGGGGUCACCAAGGUUGAGAAUCACUGCUCUGGGAGGAAAUGCUGGAGGACAAGGGCUUUCUUCUCGGGGAUCAUUAAUGAUAUAAACAUCUCUUCCUAUAUGUCUUGGGGCUAGAGAAAUGUGACAUCCACUUACAAAUAAUGAUUAAUGGACACCAACUGAGGAUUCUUGGUGGCCAGUUCUUUGAGUCACCCCCAACCACAGAAUACACUUUCUUCUAAGCAGCAGAUGAAGGUUGUGUGCCCCAGCAGCACAGUGAGUAUUUGAAUAUAGUUUAAAAGAUCCUAAGAGAACAGGGGAUGUGUGACUUAGAACUGAAUGGAAGAGGAAAAGGACCAGUCCAGUUACCAGUCUGUGCCUGCUGUACCCAUGGGGUGAUGCCGAGAUGUCUACAAAUCUGUCCCAGGCUUUGACACACUAUACCAUGUGGAUAGUGUGCUCACACUGUUCUGGGCACAAAACCUCUGGACAAAUUCCCUACUUCAUGGAGACUUCUGAGAGCGGUACUGUCUGUCUAUGUCAGCGUGGCAACGUUUUGUUUCAGGAAAAGUCUUACAUUAAAACAGUGGUACCUCAGGGAAGACCUUUACUGCUGACCUCAGGAAAUUCUUGUAAAUUGGUUUAUCCUCACCAUCCAGUUCACUCUUCUAGUUUAACGCUUCUUAUGUCAGGCAAAAGCCAGACUGCCAGUCUUCCUGUCGAGACUCUUUUUUCUGUUGUCCACCGAACCGAGGGUAUGAGGUCAGCGCUAUGCCCAGCUCCAGUUAGUUCCUGCCUUGACAGACAGGUUUGAAGCCUUUUGAGUUCAGCUCCCAUCAUCCAUCCAGCCACAAAGCUCUGUCAAAGUCUUCUCCUUGAGCAAACGUAAUGGGUUCAGCUUUCCUUCAUUAGACAUGUCAUUCAUUAUUAUUGUUUUAGUUUUGAAGAUGGCACAUUUCAGUGGACAGCAGAAUGUAAGAACGAGGGAGAAAAUACUUCAUAACUACUUUUUGCUAUAAUUACAACCUCGACUUUCCUUAUCUUUGUCCUGAAAGUAUCCAACUACUUGUUUUUCUACAAACAUGAAGCUGUGGUUUGGAUGUAGGUGGAAGGAGUCUCCCAGAAACUGAUGCUGGAAAGUUUUAUUGUCCAUCUACCCAUGUACUACUGUUGAAAAGAGGUAAGAACUUUCCAGAGGUGGAAACUGGUGGAAAGGUUUUAGGUCAUUGUGGAUUUGCUCUCAGAGGGGGGUUAACAAUUCUCGUGGGGCCUGCCUCUUGGUGUCCUGUCCCGCCCUGUAAGCUCUCUCUUACAUACCUGUCUGCCAUGAUGUCAUGCACCAUUAGGCAAUGAGCCUGGGAGCACCCUUAGGCAGUACAAUGAGAUUUGGGCUUUCAAUCUCCAAACAGUAAACUGUAUGAGACUUUUCUUUACUAAGUGUCUAGCCUUGGCCAUUUCAUUAAGAAACAGAAAGCAGGGCAAUAUACUUGGUAGACCCAUGACCCAUUUUCAGUGACACUUUGAUUUCAGAGUAUUUCAUUCUAUUGUGGUUUCUUCACUUUAUGUCUAACGUUUUCCAGAACUCUAGAUACAGGAGGCGCCUGAAGGUAGGCAGGUGAGUCACCAGAACUGGAUAGAGACCUGUUGUGAGAAGGAGGGAACUUGGCACAAAGCAGGGCCAUUUCCUCCUGUCAUAUUAAAUGUUGCCUUAAGCACAUCUGUUGAAAUGUUCUAGGCUCAAGCAAUACUUCAUGGGCUUGGCACACUGUGUUUUUCUAAAACAAAUUGCUUCCUGGCUCCCUGUACCACUGUGCAGGUGACCCUAGGGCUGGGCAUGGAUAACGGGCACCUAGAGCCUGCAGAGGUCUGAAAAGUGUGACCUCAGGUGGGCUGUGGCAUCUGCUUUACCAGGAACUGUGAAAAUGUCUAACUAUUUUUAUUACGAUGAUUAUUUUAUUUUAUUACGAUAUUUUAUUUUAUUAUUAUUUUAUUUUAUUUUAUUACGAUGAUUUUUAUUACGAUAGAUUAAAACUCUAUCUGUUUACAGUGUGGGAAAUUAUUAAUACUCUCGCAUUAUGUGGGUCUUCAGGUUGCAAAAAGAGACGUGAUAAAGAUAGUUUAUUCGGCAAAGCUGCGAAGAGUGUGGGAAGUAAAACACACAUGGAAUAUCAUCUGCUCUGGACAGCUACUGUCACGGCCUUUUCUAGACAAUAAUUCACUUGACUCUCACACCAGCUUCACAAGGGAGGGCUUCAGUAUUGCAUGGAUGGGGCAACUGUGGUUCUGAGAGGUUGUUCUGUAUCGCAGGUGACAGACAGGGGCACUAGUGUGUUUGGCUGCCCACUGCCCACUGCCCACUAGAUGUUCUCACUGAGUUCCCCAACUCUGGAACAAUAGAAGGCCAUGGGAGUAGGGAGAGGUGGGCACGAGAGACUGUUCCAGAUCCUUCUUCAGCUCUCAUCUCUUAUAAAACUGCUUUUAAUUUACCUGAAUGCUUUGUAACAUAAGCUAGACCACAAUAGAAAU